AGGUGAGGCAGGAGCUGGAGGUGAGGAAGGAACUGGAGGCGGGGCAGCAGCUGGAGGUGAGGAAGGAGGCAAGGCAGAAGCUGGAGGCCAGGCAGGAGGUGAGGCAGGAGCUGGAGGUGAGGAAGGAACUGGAGGCGAGGCAGUGGCUGGAGGCGGGGCAGGAGCUGGAGGCGGGGCAGGAGCUGGAGGCGGGGUAGUGGCUGGA